rnacentral:rRNA from 1 species
ACGCGAAGAACCUUACCUAGUCUUGACAUCCCGAUGACCAAGUAUGUAAUGUACUCUUUCUUCGGAACAUCGGUGACAGGUGGUGCAUGGUUGUCGUCAGCUCGUGUCGUGAGAUGUUGGGUUAGGUCCCGCAACGAGCGCAACCCCUAUUUCUAGUAGCCAGCAGUUCGGCUGGGCACUCUAGAGAGACUGCCAGGGAUAACCUGGAGGAAGGUGGGGAUGACGUCAAAUCAUCAUGCCCCUUAUGACUAGGGCUACACACGUGCUACAAUGGCGUAAACAAAGGGACGCGAAGUCGUGAGGCCUAGCAAAUCUCAAAAAUAACGUCUCAGUUCGGAUUGUAGUCUGCAACUCGACUACAUGAAGCUGGAAUCGCUAGUAAUCGUGGGUCAGAAUGCCACGGUGAAUACAUUCCCGGGUCUUGUACACACGC